CAAUCUACAAUCUACAAAUCUACAAUCUACAAAUCUACAAAUCUAAAAAAUGGUGAAAUUAACUACUCCUUUUGGGUUUCGAUGUUUGCUGUUGAGUUUUUGGUUCUCUCGGAUUUCUGGGUGUUCUCAAGCAAGACGCUGGCGGUGUGUUCGGUGUGCAGGUGAAAUGGAGCUCGAAUUGUGUUUAAAUGGGUCCUAUCUGAUCUCCGUAUAUCAGCUGUAGCUAAACUGCAAGGCAAUUCCUGGUUUUAAGCAUGUCGCUCAGUUCAAUGCGCAUCCCAUUCCAGCCUCUGCUAAAGCAGAUUACUGAAUGCCUGAGCUUCCAGGUCCCUGCCUAUGGUGUUCUAGAC